CACGCUGCUGGUAGAUGAGCACGCGCAGCUGGAGCCGGUGAGCCUGCGGCCGUGCUUCGGAGACUACAGUGACGAGAGUGACUCGGCCAUCGUCUAUGACAACUGUGCCUCCGUCUCCUCGCCCUAUGAGUCAGCCAUCGGAGAGGAAUAUGAGGAGGCCUCCCGGCCCCAGCCUCCUGCCUGCCUCUCCAAGGACUCCACGCCUGACGAACCCGACGUCCAUUUCUCCAAGAAGUUCCUGAACAUCUUCAUGAGUGGCCGCUCCCGCUCCUCCAGUGCCGAGUCCUUCGGGCUGUUCUCCUGCAUCAUCAACCGGGAGGAGCAGGAGCAGACCCACCGGACCAUAUUCAGGUUUGUGCCUCGACACGAAGACGAACCUGAGCUGGAAGUGGAUGACCCUCUGCUAGUGGAGCUCCAGGCUGAAGACUACUGGUACGAGGCCUACAACAUGCGCACUGGUGCCCGGGGCUUCUUUACUGCCUAUUACGCCAUCGAAGUCACCAAGGAGCCCGAGCACAUGGCAGCCCUGGCUAAAAACAGUGACUGGGUGGACCAGUUCCGGGUGAAGUUCCUGGGCUCAGUCCAGGUUCCCUAUCACAAGGGCGAUGUCGUCCUCUCUGCCGCUAUGCAAAAGAUUGCCACCACCCGCCGGCUAACCGUGCACUUUAACCCGCCCUCCAGCUGUGUCCUGGAGAUCAGCGUGCGGGGUGUGAAGAUAGGUGUCAAGGCCGAUGACUCCCAGGAGGCCAAGGGGAAUAAAUGUAGCCACUUUUUCCAGUUAAAAAACAUCUCUUUCCGCGGAUAUCAUCCAAAGAACAACAAGUACUUUGGGUUCAUCACCAAGCACCUCGCCGACCACCGGUUUGCCUGCCACGUCUUUGUGUCUGAAGACUCCACCAAAGCCCUGGCAGAGUCCGUGGGGAGAGCAUUCCAGCAGUUUCACAAGCAGUUUGUGGAGUACACCUGCCCCACAGAAGAUAUCUACCUGGAGUAGCCGCGCAGCCCCGCCCUCUGCGUCCCCCGGCCCUCAGGCCAGUGCCAGGACAGCUGGCUGCUGACAGGAUGUGGCACUGCUUGAGGAGGGGCACCUGCCACCGCCAGGGGAUGAGGAAGUGGGGGCCGCUGGCUCAGGGUAGGGGAGGGUGGGGCAAUGGGGAGAGGCAAAUGCAGUUUAUUGUAAUAUAUGGGAUUAGAUUCAUCUAUGGAGGGCAGAGUGGGCUGCCUGGGGAUUGGGAGGGACAGGGCUUGGGGAGCAGGUCUCUGGCAGAGAAGGAUGUCCGUUCCAGGAGCACACGGCCCUGCCCCAUCCUGGGCCAUACCUCCCCUGCCAGGGCUCGGGUGCUCUGGCUCCUGCCUUGAUGAAGCCCAUGUCCUGCCUUGAUGAAGCCUGUGCCACCUGCAAGUGCCCGCCCUGCCCCGUCCCAACACCCACCGAAGAACCCUGAGCUCAGGCUGAGCCCAGCCACCUCCCAAGGACUUUCCAGUGAGGAAAUGGCAACACAUGGAAGUGAAGUCCCUGUUCUCAGCUCUGUCAUCUGCGGGGCUUCUGGGUGGCUCCUGCCACCGACCUCACUGGCAUGCUAGCCUGUGGCAGGCCUAGGACCUCAGCGGGGAGGAGGAGCUGCCGCAAGGCCCUAUCCCAGCAGGAGAGGGAGGCUUCCUGACUGACACAGGCUAGCCCCAUCUUGGUCCUGUCACCCUGGCCCCAACUAUUAAAGUGCCAUUUCCUGUCAAAAAAAAAAAAAAAAAAAAGAAAAGAAAA